GCUGGGCACGGUGGCGCGUGCCUGUAAUCCCAGCUACUCAGGAGGCUGAGGCAGGAGAAUUGCCUGAACCCAGGAGGUGGAGGGUGCGGUGAGCUGAGAUCGAGCCAUUGCACUCCAGCCUGGGUAACAAGAGCGAAACUCCGUCUCAU
rnacentral:sRNA from 1 species